rnacentral:rRNA from 2 species
CACGCCGCGUGAGUGACGAAGGCCUUCGGGUCGUAAAGCUCUGUUGUUAGGGAAGAACAAGUACCGUUCGAAUAGGGCGGUACCUUGACGGUACCUAACCAGAAAGCCACGGCUAACUACGUGCCAGCAGCCGCGGUAAUACGUAGGUGGCAAGCGUUGUCCGGAAUUAUUGGGCGUAAAGCGCGCGCAGGCGGUCUUUUAAGUCUGAUGUGAAAGCCCACGGCUCAACCGUGGAGGGUCAUUGGAAACUGGAGGACUUGAGUGCAGAAAAGGAGAGUGGAAUUCCACGUGUAGCGGUGAAAUGCGUAAAUAUGUGGAGGAACACCAGUGGCGAAGGCGGCUCUCUGGUCUGUAACUGACGCUGAGGCGCGAAAGCGUGGGGAGCAAACAGGAUUAAAUACCCUGGUAGUCCACGCCGUAAACGAUGAGUGCUAGGUGUUGGGGGGUUCCACCCUCAGUGCUGAAGUUAACACAUUAAGCACUCCGCCUGGGGAGUACGACCGCAAGGUUGAAACUCAAAGGAAUUGACGGGGGCCCGCACAAGCAGUGGAGCAUGUGGUUUAAUUCGAAGCAACGCGAAGAACCUUACCAGGUCUUGACAUCCUCUGACAAUCCUGGAGACAGGACGUUCCCCUUCGGGGGACAGAGUGACAGGUGGUGCAUGGUUGUCGUCAGCUCGUGUCGUGAGAUGUUGGGUUAAGUCCCGCAACGAGCGCAACCCUUGAUCUUAGUUGCCAGCAUUCAGUUGGGCACUCUAAGGUGACUGCCGGUGACAAACCGGAGGAAGGUGGGGAUGACGUCAAAUCAUCAUGCCCCUUA